UGGUCCACGAUAGAAAAAGAAGGAGGGGAUGCCCAAGAGUUGGGCACCCCUUGUCUUGCCAUAUUUGGAUAAUCCUUGACUAGGUAUUUGACCUAGACAAGGACUCUAUCAUAUCUUUCUAUUUAAAAUGAAUUUUAUAUAAAAUUUUUUGAAAAAUAGAAAAAGGAGAGACCUUUGAGGUGUACAAAAAUCAGGGAGAAAGAAGGUUAGGGCG
rnacentral:lncRNA from 1 species